rnacentral:ncRNA from 1 species
AUAAUGCUUGUCGCCGCUAAGUAAAGCAAUUGUUUUGAGAGGAGUAAACUCAAGGAUAAGUGGUUGUGGUAAAUACUGAUAAUAUUUA